CCUACGGGAGGCAGCAGUGGGGAAUAUUGCGCAAUGGGCGAAAGCCUGACGCAGCGACGCCGCGUGAGGGAUGAAGGUCUUCGGACCGUAAACCUCUGUCAGCAGGGAAGAACGGUCACUGUGCUAAUCAGCAGUGAAUUGACGGUACCUGCAAAGGAAGCACCGGCUAACUCCGUGCCAGCAGCCGCGGUAAUACGGGGGGUGCGAGCGUUAAUCGGAAUUACUGGGCGUAAAGCGCUCGUAGGCGGUAUGUCAAGUCAAGGGUGAAAUCCCCGCGCUCAACGUGGGAACUGCCUUUGAAACUGGCAGACUGGAGUGUGUGAGAGGAUAGUGGAAUUCCAGGUGUAGGAGUGAAAUCCGUAGAUAUCUGGAGGAACAUCAGUGGCGAAGGCGACUAUCUGGCACAUAACUGACGCUGAGGAGCGAAAGCGUGGGUAGCAAACAGGAUUAGAUACCCGGGUAGUC
rnacentral:rRNA from 1 species